rnacentral:rRNA from 1 species
UUUAUCGGAGAUGGAUGAGCCCGCGUUGGAUUAGCUAGUUGGUGGGGUAAAGGCCUACCAAGGCGACGAUCCAUAGCUGGUCUGAGAGGAUGAUCAGCCACAUUGGGACUGAGACACGGCCCAAACUCCUACGGGAGGCAGCAGUGGGGAAUAUUGGACAAUGGGCGCAAGCCUGAUCCAGCCAUGCCGCGUGAGUGAUGAAGGCCUUAGGGUUGUAAAGCUCUUUCACCGGAGAAGAUAAUGACGGUAUCCGGAGAAGAAGCCCCGGCUAACUUCGUGCCAGCAGCCGCGGUAAUACGAAGGGGGCUAGCGUUGUUCGGAAUUACUGGGCGUAAAGCGCACGUAGGCGGAUCGAUCAGUCAGGGGUGAAAUCCCAGAGCUCAACUCUGGAACUGCCUUUGAUACUGUCGAUCUAGAGUAUGGAAGAGGUGAGUGGAAUUCCGAGUGUAGAGGUGAAAUUCGUAGAUAUUCGGAGGAACACCAGUGGCGAAGGCGGCUCACUGGU